GAUGAACGCUGGCGGCGUGCCUAAUACAUGCAAGUCGAGCGAACGGACGAGAAGCUUGCUUCUCUGAUGUUAGCGGCGGACGGGUGAGUAACACGUGGAUAACCUACCUAUAAGACUGGGAUAACUUCGGGAAACCGGAGCUAAUACCGGAUGAUAUUUUGAACUGCAUGGUUCAAAAGUGAAAGACGGUCUUGCUGUCACUUAUAGAUGGAUCCGCGCUGCAUUAGCUAGUUGGUAAGGUAACGGCUUACCAAGGCAACGAUGCAUAGCCGACCUGAGAGGGUGAUCGGCCACACUGGAACUGAGACACGGUCCAGACUCCUACGGGAGGCAGCAGUAGGGAAUCUUCCGCAAAGGGCGAAAGCCUGACGGAGCAACGCCGCGUGAGUGAUGAAGGUCUUCGGAUCGUAAAACUCUGUUAUUAGGGAAGAACAUAUGUGUAAGUAACUGUGCACAUCUUGACGGUACCUAAUCAGAAAGCCACGGCUAACUACGUG
rnacentral:rRNA from 1 species